AUAAAUGUUGAAUUGGACUUUCCUUAGCUUGUUGAUUCACCCAAUAACUUCUCUUAUUGUAAAGAACAUCACAGCUACGAAUUGAAGGACAAUAGGAUAUUGAUACUAUUGUCGUAUUAUGAAUUUAUGAGUUUAUCAAAACUGAAUAUUUGAAGGUUUAUGAGUUUCCUAUGGAGCCUUUGAAUGGACCUAAUAAUGAAUGUCCAAUUUCACAAGUUGAAUCAAAUUCAUCCCCUCCAUUAAAAAAGGUUAGAGGUAGACCACAAAAGGCAAGGAAAAAACAGAUUGGAGAAGUUACUAGCAAUGGUAAAAUGAGGAAGACUGACAUGAUUAUGAAACGUAGUGUAUGUGGAGAGCAAGGGCAUAACAAAAGAAGUUGUAGCUUCAGAGACGAAUUACCAAGUUCAACUCAACCACUCACGCAACUUCAAUAGAAAGGAAAUAAACAAACACCCUUACAAACUCCUACUGGAUCCUUAGUAAGUGUUCAGUAAGUUCAUAUGCUUGUUUUCUUCAAAAAUCCACUCAAUUAUAAGCAUAUGUACAAUAUGUUGUAUUAAUGUCUUCCUUCCUAGAUCAAUGAAUUUAGGAGGCAAGCUGCUUACUAUACUAAUUAUGGUGGAGAGCAAACUUUGCAGUCAACUACAAUAAUACAUAACAAUACCCAGCAAUCACAAUCGACUCAGGGUAGCAUUUCAUCAUCAAACCGUAGCUUCAUUCCUCUGAAUGGCAGAAAUUACAUAACAACUCAAGCACUACAGGCAUUAUUUUCUUGUUUUUUUUUGCUCCACUCAUGUCAAUUCGGUAUGAAGUUCAAGUAAAAUAUAUAGACUAUAUGCUAAUUGAUAAUUUGUUCUCUUAAUGCAAGGAUAUGGCUAACAAAAAUAUUGGACCUUACAACCAUAAUUUCAAUCAAUGAUAUGAGAAGUUACAUAAUAAAUCAAACUUGAGAAAUGUUUAACAUUUUGAGGUUAUCUAGUUACAAUUUACGCAUUUUGGGCUCUGCAUACUCUUAACAUUUUGGAGUUUUCUUCUGCAAUAUAUUUUUUUUGUAGAGUCAAAGACUAAAUUUUAUCUCUUUGACAAUUGUAAUUUAGGAGAAUUUUUUGUUAAGUGAUCGGAUUUUUGAAUUCCGGUGACCGAUAAUCCCCGAGCGAUGAAAAGUGAAAGGUAAGUCCCCAAACGUUGAUAAGUUUGGAAGGUGAGUCACCUAAAAUGCAUUUUACUCCUAUUUUUCUUUUUAAAUUAAAGUAAGAAGUUGUUAAGCUAUGCAUUUUGUCUGUCCUAAGAUUUAAUGAUCCUUUUCUUUUGUAUUACUUAUACUUUGUGACUUUGCUAAAUGUAAUUACUUUUUUUCUUUUUGCUAAACUUAUUAUGGUAACACCAUAAAUUCAUAACUGGUCAUAUUUGUUGGUGUAUAGCUUGCAUUCGGCAUGCCAUUAUGUUGUUUUGUUUACUCAGGAUGAAUCAGAAUUGGAUGAGCGACUUCUGCUGCAGUCAUCACCUCUAAGUUGCUGCUACCCAUAUCAAAUCUACUGGCUACUGCUAUAUCUUCGCUUUAUUUUCUGUUCUUGGCAAUGUAUGUUGUAGGCUGUAAUCUUGUAGCAGUCAAUUUCCUUUUAGGUUCCUAUGUUUAUGUUUGUUGAACGCUUGAACUAAUUUACAAAGAGGGUUUUCCUCCCUCUAUGAUGUAACAUAUGCUUUCCUUUGUGUUUUUAUGAAAGUUUUGUUUACUUUA